rnacentral:rRNA from 1 species
CAGCAGCCGCGGGAAUACAGAGGGUGCGAGCGUUAAUCGGAUUUACUGGGCGUAAAGCGUGCGUAGGCGGUGAGUUAAGUCUGCUGUGAAAUCCCCGGGCUCAACCUGGGAAUGGCAGUGGAUACUGGCUCGCUAGAGUGUGUCAGAGGAUGGUGGAAUUCCCGGUGUAGCGGUGAAAUGCGUAGAGAUCGGGAGGAACAUCAGUGGCGAAGGCGGCCAUCUGGGACAACACUGACGCUGAGGCACGAAAGCGUGGGGAGCAAACAGGAUUAGAUACCCGUGUAGUCCCUGUCUCUUAUAC